rfam:Pan troglodytes isolate Yerkes chimp pedigree #C0471 (Clint) chromosome 6, whole genome shotgun sequence.
GGCCCCAUGGCGUAAUGGUGAGCGCGCUGGACUCUGAAUCCAGCGAUUCGAGUUCAAAUCUCGGUGGGACCU